GCCGGGCUAGCUCAAUCGGUAGAGCGUAAGACUCUUAAUCUUAAGGCUGCGGGUUCGACCCCCGCG
rnacentral:tRNA from 1 species